rnacentral:lncRNA from 1 species
AGGGUUUCACCGUUGCAUUUAUUACUGUUCCCAAAUCAAGGUAACCUUGGGCUCUACUCCCCAUAUUUACAAGGUAAUAAAAAACUCUGCUGGGCUGUCAGGGACAAAUGUGACUGCUCUUCCUCACAUGCCUCCCACGAAACAAGCUUUUCCUCUUCCAUCUGGCUGUUGCCUGCUUGGAGCAUGCCACUUUUCUCACAUCCUAACCCUGCAUUCCCCUGCUUCCCUGUGGCCUCUUUGCAUGCACGAAAAGGCUGGAAUCGGUUCAGGGACGAUGGAUGGAUGUCCUGACCUUAGAGGUUGUUGGUCAUUUUAGCAGCACUGCUUUGCAUUUUAAACGGCACUCAUCUGGCUUCAAGGUUCUGUUUUCUUGUAUCAGGCACUUGUCCUUUAAAAAAAACCUAGGAGGUCACAACAGGUCUCACGUACACAAAAAUUUCCAAACCAGGAGCAUUGCAUUACCUUAAAUUCGAUAGCCUGAACUGGAGAUUAACCAAGAUUGCAGGGGAAGGGGAGGGGGAAACCUAUAUGAAAAGGCCUAAUAUGAUCAAAACAAAGGCAGCCGACUACAUUUGUUUGGAAAUUGGAGUCACAUGCUUAGUUUGUGGAGGGAAGGGGGGUGCACAAGAUCGAUAGAGAAUUUCUUUUUUAAAGCUGAAAACAUGAUGUUCCAGAUGAACUUAAAUUGAUUCUGCUUCUCCUCCCCUCCCUUUCCCUCCCCUCGUUCUGCAGCUAAUGUCUGCGACAAUGAGCUCCUGCACUGCCAGAAUGGAGGGACCUGCCAGAACAAUGUGCGCUGCGCGUGCCCAGACGCCUACACCGGCAUCCUCUGUGAGAAGCUACGGUGCGAAGAGGCGGGCAGCUGUGGCUCCGAAUCCGGCCAGGGAGCACCCCCGCGGGGCUCCCCAGCACUGCUGCUGCUGACCAUGCUGCUGGGGACUGCCGGUCCCCUGGUGUUCUAGGGGUCACACCCAGCCCUCCGACAGGCCUGUGCUGUGGGGAAGCAAACACAACCCAAGCGAUUGCCACUGACAUAGAAAACACGCACACCCACUCCAACACAGUGUAUAAAAGAAGAGGGCCUAACUGAACUAAGCCAUAUCUCUCAGAACCGGACAGCACAUCGCACAUCGGAGUUGAGACUGUUCAUCAUUGACUCCAGAGGAAUUGGCAGCUGUUGCUAUUCUCACUGCAAAUCUCAUUGCCAGCUGCAGAGCUGAUUGCGGAUUGGAAAGGCUGUGAGAGCGCCCCCAAGAGGAAAGACGGAAAACAAACUGAUCAACCAACCUAAAAACAUUCGCUACUCUACCGUGGUGCACCCUAGUACCGCUCUGCUCAGUGUGUGGGCCAACCAAAUAAAAGCAUUCUUCGCUGUCAGGUGCAUUGUGGGUAUAAGGAAAUCUGUUACAAGCUGCCAUAUUGGCCUGCUUCAGUCCCCCCGACCCCCAAAUCCCUUCCAACCUGUGCUUUAGUGAACGUUGCUCUGUAACCCUUGUUGGUUGAAAGAUUUCUUUGUCUGAUGUUAGUGAUACACACGUGUAACAGCCCCCUCCAAAGCGCAAGCCAGUCAUACCCCUGUAUAUUUUAGCAGCACUGCGGUCCCAGUGCCAGCUCACGUCCACUUCACAAGAGUGGUUAGAGGAAAAGAGAAAGUGUAUCUAUCCUUUUGUAUUCAAAUGAAGUUAUUUUUCUUGAAAUAAUGUAAUAUGUAGAUUUUUUGUAUUAUUGCCAAUUUAUGUUACCAGACAAUCUGUUAAUGUAUCUAAUUCGAAUCAGCAAAGACUGACUGAUGUUUGAGUUUUUGGUCCUCUUUGGUUUUGUUUCGUUUCGUCAUGCAGAGAUUUCUCUGUAAGGGCAACGAGCGUGCUGGCAUCAAAGAAUAUCGGUUUACAUAUAGCAAGUGUAAUAAGAUUCCACCAAAGGACAUUUUAAAUGUUUUUUCUUGUUGCUUUAACACUGGAAGAUUUAAAGAAUAAAAAUUCCUGCAGAAAUGUUAUCAGGAAAUUGUAUGGCCGUUUCUUAAGACGAAAGGAGCAACCACCCAGCAGUUUCCCAGUCACGUCACUGAUUUUUGUGUGGACUGAACACAGUCAGCUGACAACUUUAAUAACCAGGAAGACGGAUUGAUGGUCACUAGCUUGGACAACGUCUGCAAAAUAUGAGACUAUUUUCCACCUGGGAAAAAAUUAUAACC